UACGUAGGGUGCAAGCGUUAAUCGGAAUUACUGGGCGUAAAGCGUGCGCAGGCGGUUGUGUAAGUCAGAUGUGAAAUCCCCGGGCUCAACUUGGGAAUUGCAGUGGAUACUGGCAGGCUGGAGUAUGGUAGAGGAAGGUGGAAUUCCCGGUGUAGCAGUGAAAUGCGUAGAGAUCGGGAGGAACACCAGUGGCGAAGGCGGCCUUCUGGACCAAUACUGACGCUCAUGCACGAAAGCGUGGGGAGCAAACAGG
rnacentral:rRNA from 1 species